CCUACGGGAGGCAGCAGUGGGGAAUAUUGGACAAUGGGCGAAAGCCUGAUCCAGCCAUGCCGCGUGUGUGAAGAAGGCCUUCGGGUUGUAAAGCACUUUCAGUGGGGAAGAAAGCCUUGGGGCUAAUACCCUCGAGGAAGGACAUCACCCACAGAAGAAGCCCCGGCUAACUCCGUGCCAGCAGCCGCGGUAAUACGGAGGGUGCGAGCGUUAAUCGGAAUUACUGGGCGUAAAGCGCGCGUAGGCGGUCUGAUAAGCCGGUUGUGAAAGCCCCGGGCUCAACCUGGGAACGGCAUCCGGAACUGUCAGGCUAGAGUGCAGGAGAGGAAGGUAGAAUUCCCGGUGUAGCGGUGAAAUGCGUAGAGAUCGGGAGGAAUACCAGUGGCGAAGGCGGCCUUCUGGACUGACACUGACGCUGAGGUGCGAAAGCGUGGGUAGCAAACAGGAUUAGAUACCCCAGUAGUC
rnacentral:rRNA from 1 species